rnacentral:rRNA from 1 species
ACGUAGGUGGCAAGCGUUGUCCGGAAUUAUUGGGCGUAAAGCGCGCGCAGGUGGGCUAGUCAGUCUCAUGUAAAAGUGGGGGGCUCAACCCCGUAGAGAGUGAGAAACUGCUAAUCUUGAGUGCCGGAGAGGAAAGCGGAAUUCCCAGUGUAGCGGUGAAAUGCGUUGAUAUGGGAAGGAACACCAGUGGCGAAGGCGGCUUUCUGGACUGGAUCUGACACUGAGGCGCGAAAGCCAGGGGAGCGAAGGG